GGAGGAAAAGAAACUAACAAGGAUUCCCCUAGUAACGGCGAGUGAACCGGGAAGAGCUCAAAUUUGAAAUCUGGCGUCCUCAGGGCGUCCGAGUUGUAAUCUAUAGAGGCGUUUUCCGUGCCGGACCGUGUCCAAGUUCCUUGGAACAGGAUAUCAAAGAGGGUGACAAUCCCGUACUUGACACGACGACCGGUGCUCUGUGAUACGUCUUCUACGAGUCGAGUUGUUUGGGAAUGCAGCUCAAAAUGGGUGGUGAGUUCCAUCUAAAGCUAAAUAUUGGCGAGAGACCGAUAGCGAACAAGUACCGUGAGGGAAAGAUGAAAAGCACUUUGGAAAGAGAGUUAAACAGUACGUGAAAUUGUUGAAAGGGAAACGAUUGAAGUCAGUCGUGACCGAGAGGCUCAGCCGGUUCUGCCGGUGUAUUCCCCUCGGUCGGGUCAACAUCAGUUUUGUCCGGUGGAUAAGGGCGGUAGGAAGGUGGCACCCUCGGGUGUGUUAUAGCCUGCCGUCGCAUACAUCGGGUGAGACUGAGGAACGCAGCUCGCCUUUAUGGCCGGGGUUCGCCCACGUCCGAGCUUAGGAUGUUGACAUAAUGGCUUUAAACGACCCGUCUUGAAA
rnacentral:rRNA from 1 species